rfam:Triticum aestivum genome assembly, contig: Triticum_aestivum_CS42_TGACv1_scaffold_158417_2DL
CUUGUACUCCCUCCGUCCGAAAAUUUUUGACUCAAACUUGUCUCUCAAAUGAACGUAUCUAGUACUAACUUGAUGCUAGAUACAUCCAUUUGAGGGACAAACUUUUUCGGACGGAGAAAGUACCAG